rnacentral:rRNA from 1 species
GGGGAAUUUUCCGCAAUGGGCGCAAGCCUGACGGAGCAAUACCGCGUGAGGGAGGAAGGCUCUUGGGUCGUAAACCUCUUUUCUCAGGGAAGAACAAAAUGACGGUACCUGAGGAAUCAGCAUCGGCUAACUCCGUGCCAGCAGCCGCGGUAAUACGGAGGAUGCAAGCGUUAUCCGGAAUGAUUGGGCGUAAAGCGUCCGUAGGUGGUUAUGUAAGUCUGUGGUUAAAGCGUGGGGCUCAACCCCAUAAAGGCCAUGGAAACUACAAGACUUGAGUGAAGUAGGGGUAGAGGGAAUUCCCAGUGUAGCGGUGAAAUGCGUAGAGAUUGGGAAGAACACCGGUGGCGAAAGCGCUCUACUGGACUUAAACUGACACUGAGGGACGAAAGCUAGGGGAGCGAAAGGGAUUAGAUACCCCUGUAGUCCUAGCCGUAAACGAUGGAUACUAGGUGUUGCCCGUAUCGACCCGGGCAGUGCCGUAGCUAACGCGUUAAGUAUCC